rnacentral:misc_RNA from 1 species
GAUGAAGAACGUAGCGAAAUGCGAUACUUGGUGUGAAUUGCAGAAUCCCGUGAACCAUCGAGUCUUUGAACGCUAGUUGCGACUCAAGCCAUUAGGUUGAGGGCACGUCUGCCUGGGCGUCACAUAUCGUUGCCUGAUGCCAGUUUCCUCGUGAUGGGUGACUGUGCAGGGCGAAUGAUGGCUUCCCGUGAGCAUUGUUGCCUCAUGGUUGGUUGAAAAUUGAGUCCUUGGUAGGGAGCGCCUUGAUAGAUGGUGGUUGAGUGACGAACGAGACCCAAUCAUGUGAGACCCCUCACGAAUUUGGCCUUCAUGACCCACAUGCGUCUUUGGAACGCUCAUGACGAGACCUCAGGUCAGGCGGGGCUACCCGCUGAGUUUAAGCAUAUCAAUAAGCGGAGGA